CGCGGCCUAUCAGCUUGUUGGGGGGGUAAUGGCCCACCAAGGCGACGACGGGUAGCUGGUCUGAGAGGAUGGCCAGCCACAUUGGGACUGAGAGACGGCCCAGACUCCUACGGGAGGCAGCAGUGGGGAAUCUUGCGCAAUGGCCGAAAGGCUGACGCAGCGACGCCGCGUGGGGGAGGAAGGCCUUCGGGUUGUAAACCCCUGUUGCCCGGGACGAAUGUGCACUUUAGAGUGCAUUGACGGUACCGGGUGAGGAAGCACCGGCUAACUCCGUGCCAGCAGCCGCGGUAAUACGGAGGGUGCAAGCGUUGUCCGGAAUCACUGGGCGUAAAGGGCGCGUAGGCGGCUCAUAAAGGCUGUGGUGAAAGUUCGGGGCUCAACCUCGAAUCGGCCGUGGCGACUUGUGGGCUGGAGCACUGUAGAGGCAGGUGGAAUUCCGGGUGUAGCGGCGGAAUGCGUAGAGAUCCGGAAGAACACCAGUGGCGAAGGCGGCCUGCUGGGCAGUGGCUGACGCUGAGGCGCGACAGCGUGGGGAGCAAACAGGAUUAGAUACCCUGGUAGUCCACGCCGUAAACGAUGGGCACUAGGUGCUUGGGGGAGCGACCCUCUGAGUGCCGGCGCUAACGCAUUAAGUGCCCCGCCUGGGGAGUACGGAC
rnacentral:rRNA from 1 species